AUGGAGUUUCGCCGGCGUUCCGCCCGGCUGCGCGCCGGAGCGGACCGCAUCAGCGCCCUCCCCGACGACCUGCUCCUCCUCCUCCUCGCCCGCCUCCGCUGCGCCCGCGCCGCCGCGCGCACGGGGCUCAUCUCGCGCCGGUGGCGCGGCCUCGCGGCCCGCCUCCGUGAGAUCGUCUUCCGCUGCGUCGCCCUCCACAGGCUUCGAGCCGGAGGAGCUCGUCUUCGACCUCCCCUCCGAUCUGGUCACCGGCUCCCUCGUCGUCGACCUGCCUUGCUUGCCCCGCGCCACCUCCAUCGCGCUGCGAAUCUUCCUCUCAUCCUCCGCGUGCCCGACGGCGCCGAGUUCCCGGCGCUGGAGGCGCUGUCCCUGUCCUGCGGCAUCGCGCACGCCCACCUCGACGCCCUGCUCCGCCACUGCCCGCGCCUGCGCACGCUCCGGCUCGGCGGCUUCUUGUUUGACCAAGGCGACCUGAGGGUCAACUCGGCGUCGCUGCAGGAGCUGGCCGUGGACCGCGAGAGCGGGCUGACACACCGCGUCGACAUCGUCGCCCCCGCGCUCAAGCAAUUGUCCGUGUCCUUGAUAGCCACAGAGGUCAGCAUCUCCGUCUUGGCUCCAAUGGUGGAGAAGGUCUCGUGGCACUGCUGCUACAGGGCGGGGUCUGUUACCUUUGGUCUUUGGGAGCUUGAGCAGGUCUCUCUAGAGACCUCAGAGAGCCAAGGACAGCUCCCUUCGCUGCAGAUUCAUGCCUCCAUAUUCCGGUCAAAUUUCCCCGGCGAGGCGAUCAGCUUCACGCAAGAGAUAGUGAAGUAUAUGGUUGUUGCCUUCUCCGCUCUGGAGCUUCAUCUCGAAACAAUCGGGCAUGUUUUUGGAGCAAUUGUGUUUCUUCUCCUUGGAAUGAAUCGGAUUCGUCCAGGUGUGCGGAGGCUUAAGCUCGUCCUAUGGAGAACACCGGUGAGAGAAAGAUGCCUACCGAAUUGUCCAUGUCAGCCCAUGGACUGGAGAUCCCAAACUGUCUCCUUUACUCAUCUCCAAGAAGUGGAGAUCACUGGCUUUGAAGGGGCGGGUCAUGAGUUUGAUUUCUUAAAAUUGAUGCUCGGAUGUUCUCCGGCACUUAAAAAAAUGACUUUGAAGCUGUCACGUGAUGUGUGGUCAAGGGAACAUAGACGCACAAUAAUAAACGACAUCUUCAAGGCGUAUCCUUCCGUGCAAUGCUAUGUUUAUCUUUGCUCUGGUAAGUGUAUGUUCUGCGUGCUCUGUUAA
rnacentral:rRNA from 1 species